rnacentral:rRNA from 1 species
AGUGAACGCUGGCGGUAGGCCUAACACAUGCAAGUCGAACGGCAGCACAGUAAGAGCUUGCUCUUACGGGUGGCGAGUGGCGGACGGGUGAGGAAUACAGCGGAAUCUACUUUUUCGUGGGGGAUAACGUAGGGAAACUUACGCUAAUACAGCAUAAGACCUACGGGUGAAAGCAGGGGAGCAUGGGACCUUGCGCGAAUGAAUGAGCCGAUGUCGGAUUAGCUAGUUGGCGGGGGAACGGACCACCCAGGCGACGAUCGUUAGCUGGUCUGAGAGGAUGAUCAGCCCCACUGGAACGGAGACACGCCCCAGCUCCCUACGGGAGGAAGCAGUGGGGAAUAUUGGCCACUGGGCGCAAGCCUGAUCCAGCCAUACCGCGUGGGUGAAGAAGGCCUUCGGGUUUUAAAGCCCUUUUGUUGGGAAGGACAAGCAGCAGGUUAAUACCCCGCUCUUCUGACGGUACCCAAACAAUAAGCACCGGCUAACUUCGUG